GAAGGCAAUCAUGAAUAAAUGUUUAACACUGUUGAUUGUUGGCAAAAAUAAGUCAGGGAUGGAAGCCAGCAAAAAGUGUGGUUCCUCGGUGCUGAGAAAGAAUGUAGGGUUCAAAGUAGGCCAGAAGUUUGGUUUGGAUCCUGGUUUAGACCCUUAAUGCCUGGGUGGUCUUGGUCAGAAGACACCUGCAGACUAAGUAACGGGAGUCAUCGCUUUGCAAAGCCGUUUAGCAGUUCUGCCGAAACCAGCCUAGGCCUGGUCAGGACACAACGUCCACCAAGGGCGCUCUCCAGCCCCUGGCUAUUAAUACUCAAAGAAGUACACGGCUUUCCGUGGGCGCGCCAUUGGAAGACCCGUCCGCAUAUGUGUGUUAAUUUUCGGGCCUUGACAUCGUUUCGGAAGCAUUUAACUCCACCUCUCCAUCCGGAAUUAAAAACAGCGCUCCCAUUCCCGCCCGUCACCACCUCCUGGCCGCCUCUCACUUUCUUUUUGGUCUUCUGUUUCAGAAG
ensembl:lncRNA